CACGUAGGGCGCGAGCGUUGUCCGGAAUUAUUGGGCGUAAAGAGCUCGUAGGCGGCCUGUUGCGUCCGCUGUGAAAGCCCGGGGCUUAACCCCGGGUCGGCAGUUGAUACGGGCAGGCUAGAGGUAGGUAGGGGAGAAUGGAAUUCCCGGUGUAGCGGUGAAAUGCGCAGAUAUCGGGAGGAACACCGGUGGCGAAGGCGGUUCUCUGGGCCUUACCUGACGCUGAGGAGCGAAAGCGUGGGGAGCGAACAGG
rnacentral:rRNA from 1 species